AGGCACGUCAGAUGAAGGAGAAGGGAUUGAGGACAUGUAGAUAUGAUGUUUCUUAAGUUUCAUAAUGAAGGAGAAGGGCUCCCCGAUGCAAGGUUCAUUGUGAGGAUGUGAUGCUUAACAAAUGAUAUCCGUAUUUAGGUCUGAAACUUUUGUCUACAACUACAACAUUGGCACACGUGGCGGCUGCAGGACCUCCCGGCCGCUGGAGGUGGAUGGACAUGGCAGCGGUGGCCGCAGCAAGCUCCAGCUGACGGCGGCGGCUGGACACGGCAGCGGUGGCUGCAGGGUCUCCUGUGUGCGACCUCACCAGGUCGUUGUUGCGGAUCCCCUCUCCCCCUUGACCUGAACACUGAUGGCUGGAUGAGGCAUAGAAGAGCGGGAGGGGCGCACCUAGGCAGAAGGAGGAAGGGUGGCUGAGCGGAGCAGUGCUUGUUGAGAGUCAAUCACCACUGAUGCAGCCAGGGUUUCAAAUGUCAAGUGGUUUUGUGACUACUAUGUUCUUGUUAUGGAUGUGCUCUCUUGCAACAGAAAAUUGUGGAUCAAAACUGUUAUGAUGCUUCCUAAUCAAAUGGUAUGCUGAAGAACUGUUAUGAUGCAUGCGGAAGUAUGCCUUGAUUGCUUUUCGUGAAUCCAUUGUAUGGAUUGCAAAGUAAGUUUUAAUGUCAUUUUGGUAUCAAAUGUUGAGGUUAUUUAAGGUAUUCAGCACAAAAAGAAGUUACUUCUAUGAUGUUAGACCAGGGAAAUUUAUGGUUUCUUUCAGUUUGGUCAUUGUUGCCUUGCAAAAUUCACAAUGGAUUAUGCGAACGGAUCAUAUCAUAAGUUCAUGACAGCUGCAUUUACUUCCAAGUUCAUGCAUGCACUACUGUAUUUUUUCUCCGUUUAGCUGGAUCAAAUUUGAUGCACUUCAUUUUCAGAGUUUCAGAUUGUUUUUCGAUAUGCUUCCCCAAAUAGGAAUUAUGCUUACAAUGAUGGACUCUGUGAGCUGUUGUUAUUUAUACAGGUUAUUUACAGGGUUUUGUUUCCAGUUAAGGAAUAAGCGGUGGGUGGUAGUGUCAGUUAGGGAACCAUGCCGCCAUUCCGAGACAUGCUACAAGACUGGCAGAAAGUGCAGGAAAAGGCAUGCACUUCUUUGUUCCAAUAAAGGUUGGAUAAAUUUUGAGCAGUCUGUCCAAUUCCAGUUUUCUUGAGAUAUCCAGCAGUACUUGCUUUAUACUAUGAGCAGAGAGAAAAUUAUGUAUACAUGUAAAAAUAUCGGUUUGCUGCAAAUGGUAAUUUCAGCAGAGGGCGAGAAUGGCGAUGGCAUGCUUUUGUGUGAGGUGCAGAGAAGUGCCACAGUCGAGAAAUCAGAGAAGAAUAUAUCACAGAACUAUGCA